rnacentral:rRNA from 1 species
UACGUAGGGAGCAAGCGUUGUUCGGAUUUACUGGGCGUAAAGGGCGCGUAGGCGGCAAAUCAAGUCAGCUGUGAAAUCUCUGGGCUUAACUCAGAACGGUCAACUGAUACUGUCGGGCUAGAGUGCAGAAGGGGCAACUGGAAUUCUCGGUGUAGCGGUGAAAUGCGUAGAUAUCGAGAGGAACACCUGCGGCGAAGGCGGGUUGCUGGGCCGACACUGACGCUGAUGCGCGAAAGCCAGGGGAGCAAACGGG